CAGAACUGUGCAGUGAUUGAGUACGUGGCAGCUGGCCUCAGACUGUCUGACGUCUGGGUGUGAAUCCAGCUGUCCCACUGGUCUGGGCAGCUAGGCUGGGCAGCCUUGCUUGAGAAGCACAAGGAUACAUCCUGGUAGCUGGCACGUUCUAAGCAUUGUCAGAAAUUGCCGUGCCAUCAAUAAGGGACUGAUUGAGUAAACGUGGUCCUGCCAUCCAGACAGAAGAUUCUACAGCUGUGGCCCAAGAAUCUGGGAACUCUUACGUACCGAUACGGAACACUCUCUAAGACCCAUUCUUGAGUUGAAAAACAAAACAAAACAAGAACAGUAUGUGAAAUAUGUCAUUAAAAAAAAAAAUAGG